rnacentral:misc_RNA from 1 species
GGAACUUCUUCACUACAAGGACCAUGAUGGCAAUGGUUAGUGCAACCGCCGCCCAGGUAAACAAGCGGUCGUCCAUUCGCCUCGGAGCAUUCAGGACUGGUGCCUGUUGUUGUUCAGCUGCAGGCUCUCUUCUUGAGAACCUCACCCCAGCACUGAAGCUGACCCUCAGACGGCCUGCAGCAGCAUUCAUACGAACAUGAGCUCCAUCUUCAGGUGGUUCGUCGGGGAGCUCCUCAGCAAGAGCCACGAUAUCAGUAUUUGGAGCAGCAUCUAUCUGUUGUUCUUCAGUAGGUGCGCUGCUCGCUUGGUCAUCUGUGGUUGUGGAUGUAGGGAGGGAAGGAACAAGAGGAGCCUUGCUAACCAUGUACUCAUGUAUCUCGUCCAUUAACUUUUGUCGCUCUGGGUUGCCAAAUCUGGGUGCAGCAUCGCGUGACUUGACAGCAAGUGCACGCCUUUCUUCCUUUUUGUAGUCAAGCGAGCCCAAUGCACCUCCGGGAUCAGUUGGCAUGAAAGCAAUCAAGGCUACUAGGGCCGUCCGCACACUCCAUGACGGCUGCCAAUGCUCCGGGUGAUGGUUAGAUAUGCUCAAACAAAUCUUCGUCUGAGUCUCAAACCGACCAUUAGGCGUGAGUAGCAUGAAGGAAGGCGGCUUGAACGGGUACUCCGAUGGCAGCUGGAUCCGACCGUGAUAUAUUCCGCCCUCAAACUCCGAGUCUCGUGGCCCCAGGAUCGCGAACUGCCACUCGAAUAUAUUCUCCUCCAAGGGGAGGCUCAUGAAGUCGUCGGAGGGGUUGGACUGCAUCUCCUUCACCUCCUGGAGAAUCCGCUUGACCGCCGGGUUCUUGCGAUUGUACUUCUCCUCCGCCAUGGCAGCGCGGCAGCAGAAGCGGCAGC